GAGGCCUUAGCUUAAUUAAAGUGUCUGAGUUGCAAUCAGGGGAUGUAGUUGUCUACAGGCCUUC
rnacentral:tRNA from 1 species